GUUCUCAUAGUUGAAAACAACAGUGACUCUUCAGGUCACAGGUCUUAGUAAAAAAUCUAGGUGAGAAUA
rnacentral:tRNA from 1 species